rnacentral:lncRNA from 1 species
UUGUGUUGAUUGGUUUUCCUUGGUUUCUUCAUUCGUCUAUCAAAGGAUGUUUAUCAAUUGAUUGGUUCUGGCAGUCUAUGCAUUUACUUGUUUUUUGAAAUGACAAAACUAGCGGUUCACUAAGAACAAGGAGGAAUAUUCCAACGUAUACGUGAAUAUGAUGUAUUGAUGGGUGUUGUUAGAUCUGGCCUUUGCUGGCGUUCCUCGACACCAUGACGAGUUGCUGUUCUGUUGAUCUUUGUCCCACGAUCCUGUUGUCCCGCGAUCCUGUUGUUCUAUGGCAAAUAUCUCCUGUUGUUCUCAAUUUGCGUUUUGUCCCGUAUUGCUUGGAUUUGAUCUAAUAUUAGUAUUUUCUGUGUGUCUCUAUGAACCCUUGCGACUCAGCCACAUUUUGAUCCAAUCGGAAGUCGAGGAAGAAAAAGGAAAAAAUGGGUGUUAAAAGUGAGAAAGACAAAAGGAAGAAGAUGACGCCCGAAGAAGAGAACGUGUAGAGGGGUAGACUAAAGGGGAGGAGAAAAAUAAAAGUGAAAGAAAAGAAAAGAACAGAAAAAAAAAAAAAAAGGCACGUGAGAAGAACAACGUUGUCGACUUGUUCAUUUAGUACAUUCUUUGUGAAUCUAUAAGAACAACGUUGUUCGACUUUUUUUUGUAGGAAUGUUGGGGAUUAUACAUUAUGCGAGAUCCUUGAUAUCUUAUGACUAUAAUGCUUCGAUUUUUUCUCUUUAAGUUAUGGAUUUGCAGAGAAUGGAGGGUGCUGUUUCGUUGUUGCCUUAUUGCUUAUUGUCUUGAAUUUUUCUUUACUUAAGGUACAUCCUCAAUUGGU